UGCAAGUGAUGUUUUUCUCACGAUGGUCUUCCUAGUUUAACUGUGACGACAUCGCCUUUAGGCAAUACUGAUGCAGCCUU